AUGCGAGCGGCGUGAGAAAAACUAUAAAAGAUUAAAAAAAAAGACGGCCUGAAAAUCAGGGACGGUGGUCGCACUGGACACUUUUCAUUGUUGUUAACACUCGCUUUCACUUCAGGUCUUUCAGUGUUAUAACUUCGCACUUUUCCGCAGCUGGCUGACGGACCACAACAACUCUUGAAUGAGUCAGCUGAUUACGAGACGGUCACGUGUUUCAAGUGGGUUCCCGGAAGUCCUUAACGGGUCUCGUCUUUCUGGUACGUUACACAACAAACCAAGGUCAGUAAAUGUGUUUCCUAACAGUUUAAACCUGAUCAUUACUUGGAAUUAAUUCAAUUAAUUAAAAUAUUUAUUUUAAAUGUUUUUUAGCAUGUCUUUCAUUGUUUUCUGUGGUGUUUCCUAUUGUUAUUCCUGGAGUUCAGACUAAACACUGAAUUUUCUGCUCUGAUCACACAGAGGUCAAAGUAAUGCUGGGACAAAACACCACACUUGACAACCCCCUAUCAGCAAGCACUAAGCAAAAGUGGGAAAGAAAAACUCCCUUUUAACAGGAAGAAACCUCCAGCAGACCCAGGCUCACCCCCAACAUCUGCUGCAGCUCUUUAGAGUGAGGAUGGCAGGUUUUCCCCAGAGAAGGUGGAGCUGCAUCUUUUGGGGCGAUCGUGGCUCAAGAGUUGGGAGUUCGCCUUGUAAUCGGAAGGUUGCCGGCUCGGACAGUCUCGGUCGUUGUGUCCUUGGGCAAGACGCUUCACCCGUUGCCUACUGGUGGUGGUCAGAGGGCCCGGUGGCGCCAGUGUCCGGCAGCCUUGCCUCUGUCAGUGCGCCCCAGGGUGGCUGUGGCUACAAUGUAGCUUGCCAUUACCAGUGUGUGAAUGUGUG
ensembl:lncRNA